GCUCCUAGUACGAGAGGACCGGAGUGGACGAACCUCUGGUGUUCCGGUUGUCACGCCAGUGGCAUUGCCGGGUAGCUAUGUUCGGAAAAGAUAACCGCUGAAAGCAUCUAAGCGGGAAACUUGCCUCAAGAUGAGAUCUCACUGGGAACUUGAUUCCCCUGAAGGGCCGUCGAAGACUACGACGUUGAUAGGCUGGGUGUGUAAGCGUUGUGAGGCGUUGAGCUAACCAGUACUAAUUGCCCGUGAGGCUUGACCAUAUAACACCCAAACA
rnacentral:rRNA from 1 species